CCGGUCCCGUUCCGAACCCGGAAGUGAAACGCUGCCGCGCCAAUGGUAGUCGGACGAUAGGUCCCGCAAGAGUAGGUCGCCGCCGGGA
rnacentral:rRNA from 1 species